rnacentral:rRNA from 1 species
ACAUGCAAGUCGAACGGUUUCUAGCAAUAGAGAUAGUGGCGCACGGGUGCGUAACGCGUAACCAACCUACCCGAAUCUGGGGGAUAGCCCGCCGAAAGGCGGAUUAAUACCGCAUAAGACCAUGGAGCGGCAUCGUUCAGUGGUUAAAGAUUUAUUGGAUUCGGAUGGGGUUGCGUGCCAUUAGCUAGUUGGCGGGGUAACGGCUCACCAAGGCGACGAUGGCUAGGGGAGCUGAGAGGCUGGUCCCCCACACGGGCACUGAGAUACGGGCCCGACUCCUACGGGAGGCAGCAGUAGGGAAUAUUGGGCAAUGGCCGAGAGGCUGACCCAGCCAUGCCGCGUGCAGGAUGAAGGCUUUCUGAGUCGUAAACUGCUUUUACCAGGGAAGAAAAAAGGGGAUGCGUCCUCUACUGACGGUACCUGGUGAAUAAGCACCGGCUAACUCCGUGCCAGCAGCCGCGGUAAUACGGAGGGUGCAAGCGUUGUCCGGAUUUAUUGGGUUUAAAGGGUGCGUAGGCGGCUUUUUAAGUCCGGGGUGAAAGCCCGUUGCUCAACAACGGAACUGCCCCGGAAACUGGAGAGCUUGAGUACAGACGAGGGUGGCGGAAUGGACGGUGUAGCGGUGAAAUGCAUAGAUACCGUCCAGAACCCCGAUUGCGAAGGCAGCUGCCUAGACUGUAACUGACGCUGAGGCACGAAA